rnacentral:misc_RNA from 1 species
GAUGAAGAACGUAGCGAAAUGCGAUACGUAGUGUGAAUUGCAGAAUUCAGUGAAUCAUCGAAUCUUUGAACGCACAUUGCACCUCUCGGUAUUCCGGGAGGUAUGCCUGUUCGAGCGUCAUUUGUACCCUCAAGCUCUGCUUGGUGUUGGGUGUUUGUUCCGCCUCUGUGUGUGAACUCGCCUCAAAACAAUUGGCAGCCGGCGUACUUGUUUCGGAGCGCAGCACAUUUUGCGAUCCAGAUCAACGUACAGCGGCAUCCAAGAAGCCUUAUUUAACGCUCUUGACCUCGGAUCAGGUAGGAUACCCGCUGAACUUAAGCAUAUCAAUAAGCGGAGGA